rnacentral:rRNA from 1 species
GACGAACGCUGGCGGCGUGCUUAACACAUGCAAGUCGAACGGUAAGGCCCUUCGGGGUACACGAGUGGCGAACGGGUGAGUAACACGUGGGUGAUCUGCCCUGCACUUCGGGAUAAGCCUGGGAAACUGGGUCUAAUACCGGAUAGGACCACUGCCUGCAUGGGUGGUGGUGGAAAGCUUUUGCGGUGUGGGGUGGACCCGCGGCCUAUCAGCUUGUUGGUGGGGUGAUGGCCUACCAAGGCGACGACGGGUAGCCGGCCUGAGAGGGUGUCCGGCCACGCUGGGACUGAGAUACGGCCCAGACUCCUACGGGAGGCAGCAGUGGGGAAGAGUGCCCAAUGGGCGCAAGCCUGAUGCAGCGACGCCGCGUGAGGGAUGACGGCCUUCGGGUUGUAAACCUCUUUCAGCACCGACGAAGCGCAAGUGACGGUAGGUGCAGAAGAAGGACCGGCCAACUACGUGCCAGCCGCCGCCGUAA